rnacentral:rRNA from 1 species
AUUGCAGGCUGCAACUCGCCUGCAUGAAGUCGGAAUUGCUAGUAAUCGUAGGUCAGCAUACUACGGUGAAUACGUUCCCGGGCCUUGUACACACCGCCCGUCACACCAUGGGAGCCGGAAAUGCCCGAAGUCAGUGACCCAACCGCAAGGAGGGAGCUGCCGAAGGUGGAGCUGGUAACUGGGGUGAAGUCGUAACAAGGUAAC